rnacentral:ncRNA from 1 species
GUCGUUGCUGUGAUGGAGAGAGUAGGCUGUGUCCAACCAAACAGAGAGUCGGUGGUGGGUGCGAACCGACGGGCGGGCAUGGUUGAAGUUCACUCUGGAGCUGCCGGGUGAAGGUCGAGAUGGCUGUGUAGUCCGUGCCGGAGCGCAAGCUUCGUUAUCCGAAUGAAGAUAAAAGGCUUUGAAGCCUUUUAUUAGGGUGGUACCGCGAGAAAAUCUCGCCCCUAUU